rnacentral:rRNA from 1 species
AAUAGAUACCCCGGUAGUCCAUGCCGUAAACGUUGGGCACUAGGUGUGGGACCCCCUCAACGGGUUCCGUGCUGUAGCUAACGCAUUAAGUGCCCCGCCUGGGGAGUACGGCCGCAAGGCUAAAACUCAAAGGAAUUGACGGGGGCCCGCACAAGCAGCGGAGCAUGUUGCUUAAUUCGAGGCAACACGAAGAACCUUACCUGGGUUUGACAUGUACGGAAAAGCCACAGAGAUGUGGUGUCCUUUUGGGCCGUACACAGGUGGUGCAUGGUUGUCGUCAGCUCGUGUCGUGAGAUGUUGGGUUAAGUCCCGCAACGAGCGCAACCCUUGUCCUAUGUUGCCAGCGGGUAAUGCCGGGGACUCGUAGGAGACUGCCGGGGACAACUCGGAGGAAGGUGGGGAUGACGUCAAAUCAUCAUGCCCCUUAUGUCCAGGGCUGCAAACAUGCUACAAUGGCCAGUACAAAGGGCUGCUAUACCGCGAGGUUGAGCGAAUCCCACAAAGCUGGUCUCAGUUCGGAUUGGAGUCUGCAACUCGA